AGCGAACGCUGGCGGCAUGCUUAACACAUGCAAGUCGCACGGGCAGCAAUGUCAGUGGCGGACGGGUGAGUAUCGCGUAGGAACAUGUCCAGAGGUGGGGGACAACCCCGGGAAACUGGGGCUAAUACCGCAUAUGAGCUGAGGCUCAAAGCAGUGAUGCGCCUUUGGAGUGGCCUGCGUCCGAUUAGGUAGUUGGUGGGGUAAAGGCCUACCAAGCCUGCGAUCGGUAGCUGGUCUGAGAGGACGACCAGCCACGCUGGGACUGAGACACGGCCCAGACUCCUCCGGGAGGCAGCAGUGGUGAAUCUUGGCCAAUGGGUGCACCCUGAUCCAGCAAUGCCGCGUGGGUGAAGAAGGUCUUCGGAUCGUAAAGCCCUUUCGGCGGGGACGAUGAUGACGGUACCCGCAGAAGAAGCCCCGGCUAACUUCGUGCCAGCCGCCGCAGUAA
rnacentral:rRNA from 1 species